CUUUAUGGCGGCUGUGCCAGGGGCACCCUAGGGUGCGCCGGGUUUAUCUUUUAACCGGUCCGUCAACCCUUGCACCGCCGCCACCCUA
rnacentral:antisense_RNA from 1 species